GGCAGUGAUGAACGAGAAUGUC
rnacentral:siRNA from 1 species